CCUACGGGUGGCAGCAGUGGGGAAUAUUGGGCAAUGGGCGCAAGCCUGACCCAGCAACGCCGCGUGAAGGAAGAAGGCUCUCGGGUUGUAAACUUCUUUUCUCAGGGACGUAGAAAGUGACGGUACCUGAGGAAUAAGCCACGGCUAACUACGUGCCAGCAGCCGCUGUAAUACGUAGGUGGCAAGCGUUAUCCGGAUUUAUUGGUGCUAAAGGGCGUGUAGGCGGGAGGGCAAGUCAGAUGUGAAAACUCAGGGCUCAACCAUGAGCCUGCAUUUGAAACUGUGGUUCUUGAGUGCUGGCGAGGCAAGCGGAAUUCCGGGUGUAGCGGUGAAAUGCGUAGAUAUA
rnacentral:rRNA from 1 species